CCUACGGGAGGCAGCAGUGAGGAAUAUUGGUCAAUGGAGGAAACUCUGAACCAGCCAUGCCGCGUGAAGGAUGACGGCCCUAUGGGUUGUAAACUUCUUUUGAAUAGGAAGAAACUUAUCUACGUGUAGAUAACUGACGGUACUAUUAGAAUAAGGAUCGGCUAACUCCGUGCCAGCAGCCGCGGUAAUAUGGAGGAUCCAAGCGUUAUCCGGAAUCAUUGGGUUUAAAGGGUCCGUAGGUGGAUAAUUAAGUCAGAGGUGAAAUCUUGCAGCUCAACUGUAAAAUUGCCUUUGAUACUGGUUAUCUUGAGUUAUUAUGAAGUAGUUAGAAUAUGUAGUGUAGCGGUGAAAUGCAUAGAUAUUACAUAGAAUACCAAUUGCGAAGGCAGAUUACUAAUAAUCAACUGACACUGAUGGACGAAAGCGUGGGUAGCGAACAG
rnacentral:rRNA from 1 species